GGCCAAGGAAGACUAGAGUCACCCACUGGCACAAACAAGCUCAAUUUCAUCGAUGUCAGCAGAAGUCCUCUCAUGUCAGAUGUGAAUACGGCCCAUUGAGCUCACUCUCUGGAAAAUUAAGGAAAUGACAAGUGAAUGACCAAGCCUGGGUUCGUUGCUGGAGAAUGCUGAGGGCUCAGCGCAUGCCACAGGGGCUCCCAGCACAAAUAUCAUGAAGGUGUGGCAAAUAUAUGAGUCAUGCUGUCUCUGAAAAGAAGAACAUGAGUCCAGAUUGUUUCCGACGCUGCUCCAGAGCUUAUAGGGGUAGUCUCAACCAAUCAGGGAACCAGAAACAACACCAUGUGACUUCAGCUCUAUGUCUAGUCCCAGUGAAGCCAACUCAAAAAUGCCCUGUGAAAAUCUGCACUGAAAUUUGCAUCCAUAUCUGAACAAUGCAAACAAUUUCAUGGUCAUUUUUCAGUAACACUUCUGCAAACAAAAAGAAUGUGGUUGGAAACAACACGUUUUUCACAGAAGCUAAGUGAAUUCAAAAGGGGGUAUGUUUAGGGAGUGUUUCCAAUUUUGCUGCAAAGCUUCAUAUAGCUCUAAUGACCACAAAUGUAACUAAUACUGUUGGUUGAGAACAAAUGCAAGAACAAAGAGACAAAGAGAGCAAUUACAGGAAAACUGUUAACCCACUGAGUGCCCAAUGGCAAAAUGGAAGACUGAGGCAGCUGUAUCAGAAGAAAUAGAAGAAAAGUCAGAGAGAAACACAUAUAAAUUCCUAACAAAUACUAAAAUGAAAGACGCAUUCAGUAAGUCAGCUGAGAUGUACAAGGAUGCCCUGUGUCUGCUCCUAAACCAGGUUUUAAAGUUUCAUUGUGGUAUUAUGUAUGAUACUGUACGCUCUGUUGCAGUCGCAUAGUAUAAUCUGCCUCUCAGGGGAGUGAGUGGAGGAGGGCAAGCCCAGAAGGGUAUGUUGCAAUCAGAAUGUAAAGCUUUUGUUAGACACAUCAGUGCUCCUGGAUGGCUAGAUCUCAGCCAUGUGCCUUUUAUCAUCUUCACCUAACCCACAGUUAUCAUGCUUUGUCAUCUCCAGGCUGGGCUAUUGUAAUGUGCAUCAUUUAGGACUGCCCUUGAUGGUUACUGUGAAGCUUCAGCUAGAGCAAAAUAUUGUCACCUGCGUCUAAAGUUGAGCAAGCUGGUGUGCAUGCAAAACCUUUAACUAUGUGCUCUGAGCUGGUUACCAAAAUCCUCCUCUGGAUGCAAUUCAGUUAUCAUCCAAAAAUCCCUGAAAGGUCGCAGACCUGACUAUCUUAGGCUCAGAGUGUCUGUCUUUGCCUUUGCCCACUUGCAACGGUAGCAUUCCAGAAGAAAGUUCUUGCUGUCUUCCCCCAGGGAUGAAAUUAAAAAGGAGACUGGCAGAGUAGUCUAGGCGCAGACCCCUCAGCUCUCAAGCUCAUUCCCUUCUGUGGGUCACUAUACUGCAUGUUACGUUUUUUUAGGAUGGAGAGCAAGUUUCAUAUUCCACAGUUUAGGCCUCAUAGCCUGAUGGCAUUAAUCUCAUCAGCGGGUGAGGGAACUGGUGCAGGCAAGGGUGAGCUUCAUCAGUGACCAUUUUGGCAACAGCUGUUCAUUUUAAUCUCUAAAGUGCUCAAAUAUCACAAUAAUGGGUGCAAAAGGAAUUACCAAAAUAAAUAAUGUUUUUACAACAUUUUGAUAAAUACACAAGCUGUUGAAUGGCUGCUACAGAUAGAAAUAACUGCAACCACCAUUAUUACUUAUGAUAUAGUAUUCCACAUGAAGCUUUUCAUACUUGUUUCUGAUCUCAAUAUUCUUAAAAAGGUAUGUUUAUGUUUGGUGGAUUUUUUUUAAACUAUUGUACACAUUUACUGGUCUGAGGGCUUAGCAACAUCUGAAAUUCAAAACUGGCAUAUGUGUCUAGCUAAAGCAGUGUCAACAGACCCCAGAAAUGCAAAGCUGAGUGAAAAU